rnacentral:rRNA from 1 species
AUUGAACGCUGGCGGCAGGCUUAACACAUGCAAGUCGAGCGAGCGGAGGACGGGUGAGUAAUGUCUGGGAAACUGCCUGAUGGAGGGGGCUAACUACUGGAAACGGUAGCUAAUACCGCAUACCAUCAGAUGUGCCCAGAUGGGAUUAGCUACUAGUGGGAGUGAUGGCUCACCUAGGCGACGAUCCCUAGCUGGUCUGAGAGGAUGACCAGCCACACUGGAACUGAGACACGGUCCAGACUCCUACGGGAGGCAGUAGUGGGGAAUAUUGCACAAUGGGCGCAAGCCUGAUGCAGCAAGGCCGCGUGUGUGAAGAAGGCCUUCGGGUUGUAAAGCACUUUCAUCGAGGAGGCGUUACUCGCAGAAGAAGCACCGGCUAACUCCGUGCCAGCAGCCGCGGUAAUAC